AACACCUCAACUCCCCUUUCUUUUUUGAAAUGGGAGCUGGACUUGAGUGAUCCCGACGUUUUUCUCACCGAAAAGUGGCGGGUUACUUGAAAUGCAGGUGCAGCUGGACUUUUCUCUGAGCUAAAAGCAUAUCUAUUUAGUCUGCCUAAAAACAGAUUAUUACCUUUGCUGCAGCUAACAUAAAGGAGGUUGGUUCUUGUGCUGACUGAUGCAGGAUUCACAGAGACAGCUUCGGCUGGCUUUGUAA
rnacentral:misc_RNA from 1 species